AUGGCGUCCGCCGAAGACCAGGCCGCGGCCGCGGCGCUGCUGGGCGGCGACCCGGCGGCGUUCGACGCGCUGCUCUCCACGCUCAUGUCGGCCUCCAACGCCGACCGCGCCGCCGCCGAGGCCGCCUUCCACCGCCUCCGCGGCUCCCACCCGGAGCCCCUCGCGCUGCGCCUCGCCUCCUCGCUCGCAGCGCCGGCCACCCCCGCCGAGCUCCGCGCCAUGGCCGCCGUCCUGCUCCGCAAGCUCCUCUCCCCGACGGCCUCCUCCGACUCCUCCUCCGCCGCGCCGCCCCCGCUCUGGCCCCUCCUCUCCCCCGACGGCCAGGCCGCGCUCAAGGCCCACCUCCUCGCCGCGCUCCAGUCCGACCCCCCCAAGCCCAUCGCCAAGAAGGUCUGCGACGCCAUAUCCGAGCUCGCCACGCUCCUCCUCCCGGAGAACACAUGGGCCGAGCUGCUGCCGUUCCUCUUCCGCGCGGCCUCCACCCCCGAGGCGCCCAACCUGCAGGAGUCGGCGCUGCUCAUCUUCGCGCGCCUCGCGGAUUACAUCGCCGAAUCUCUUCUCGACCAUUUGAUGACCAUCCACAACCUUCUAGCAUCUGCCCUGGCGCACCCGACGUCGCCUGAUGUUCGCAUCGCCGCGCUGAGCGCCGCCGUUAAUCUCGUUCAGUGCCUGCCCACUAACGCGGACAGAGAUAAGAUGCAGGACUUGCUGCCUGCGAUGAUGAGGGCGCUCACCGAUUGCCUGAAUUCGUCCCAGGAGGCAUCUGCACAGGAGGCACUGGAGCUGCUUGUGGAGCUGGCUGGUGCAGAGCCAAGGUUCCUCCGGCGACAGAUUGCCGAUGUGGCAGGAGCGAUGCUGCAAAUAGCUGAAGCUGCACAGUUGGAGGAUGGAACUAGGCACCUGGCUGUCGAGUUUGUGAUUACUCUUGCUGAGGCCAGGGAGCGUGCACCAGGAAUGAUGCGCCGGCUCCCACAGUUUGUUGGCAGGCUCUUCCAAGUACUUAUGCAGAUGUUGCUUGAUGUAGAGGACGACCCUGCCUGGCACACCGCCGAAACUGAGGAUGAAGAUGCAGGUGAAGGGAACAACUAUGGAGUGGCGCAGGAGUGCCUUGACCGUCUUGCCAUUGCCAUUGGUGGGAAUGCAGUUGUGCCGAUUGCAUCUGAGCUGCUUCCACAGUAUCUUUCUGCUCCAGAGUGGCAGAAGCACCAUGCUGCGCUCAUCACGCUUGCACAGAUUGCAGAAGGAUGUGCAAAGGUUAUGCUUAAAAACUUGGAGCAGGUGGUUUCGAUGAUACUGAAUGGAUUCCAACACCCUCAUCCUCGUGUGCGGUGGGCUGCAAUCAAUGCCAUUGGUCAGCUGUCUACAGAUUUGGGCCCAGACUUGCAGGUUCAGUACCACCAGAAGGUGCUGCCUGCAUUGGCUAACGCCAUGGACGAUUUUCAGAAUCCACGGGUGCAGGCACAUGCUGCAUCUGCAAUCUUGAAUUUCAGUGAGAAUUGCACGCCCGAAAUUCUGACACCUUACCUGGAUGGAAUUGUGAGCAAAUUACUUGUUCUUCUUCAGAAUGGUAAGCAAAUGGUGCAGGAGGGAGCAUUGACAGCUUUAGCAUCAGUAGCUGAUUCAUCACAGGACCACUUCAAGAAAUACUAUGAUGCUGUUAUGCCGUACCUGAAAGCUAUUUUAAUGAAUGCAACUGACAAGUCUAACAGGAUGCUCCGUGCCAAGUCCAUGGAGUGUAUAAGUCUUGUCGGAAUGGCUGUAGGCAAGGAUAAAUUUAGGGAUGAUGCCAAGCAGGUCAUGGAAGUGCUUAUGGCUUUGCAAGGAACUCCAAUGGAAACAGAUGAUCCGAUAACCAGCUACAUGUUGCAGGCUUGGGCCAGGCUAUGCAAAUGUCUUGGACAGGAUUUUCUUCCAUACAUGCAUGUUGUUAUGCCACCACUGCUUCAGUCUGCUCAGCUGAAGCCUGAUGUCACAAUUACUUCAGCUGAAUCAGAUGAUGAAAUAGAAUCAGAUGAUGAUAGCAUUGAAACAAUCACACUUGGUGACAAAAGAAUUGGAAUUCGAACUAGUGUGCUGGAAGAGAAAGCAACAGCUUGCAACAUGCUGUGUUGCUAUGCUGAUGAGCUCAAGGAGGGUUUCUUCCCAUGGAUUGAUCAGGUUGCUCCUACAUUGGUCCCUCUGCUUAAGUUUUACUUCCAUGAGGAAGUGAGAAGAGCUGCUGUUGCAGCUAUGCCUGAACUGUUACGUUCGGCAAAAUUGGCUGUUGAGAAGGGGCAGGCUCCAGGACGCGAUGAGUCUUACGUUAAACAAUUGUCUGAUUUCAUAAUUCCAGCUCUGGUUGAAGCGCUGCACAAGGAGCCGGAAACCGAAAUGUGCUCAUCCAUGCUGGAUUCCUUAAAUGAGUGUAUGCAGCUUUCUGGAUGUCUUCUUGAUGAGAAUCAAGUAAGAGCUAUUUCGGAUGAGAUUAAGAAUGUUAUUAUAGCCAGUGCAACCAGGAAAAGAGACAGAUCAGAGAGAACAAAAGCAGAAGAUUUUGAUGCUGAUGAAGGAGAACUACUCAAAGAAGAAAAUGAGCAGGAGGAGGAAGUGUUUGAUCAGGUCGGCGAGUGCCUGGGAACUUUGAUUAAAACCUUUAAAGCUUCUUUCUUGCCGUUCUUUGAUGAGCUAUCUGUGUACGUUACACCAAUGUUGGGAAAGGACAAGACAGCUGAGGAGAGAAGGAUAGCUAUCUGCAUUUUUGACGACAUUGCGGAGCAAUGUCGUGAGUCGGCUCUGAAGUAUUAUGAUACCUAUGUUCCUUUUCUGUUGGAGGCAUCUAACGAUGAUAACUCAGAUGUUCGGCAGGCUGCUGUUUAUGGCCUGGGCGUAUGUGCUGAGUUUGGUGGCCAUACUUUCCGUCCUUUAGUUGGAGAGGCCCUGUCAAAGCUGAACAAUGUUAUCAGACAUCCAGAAGCACAACAUGCAGAUAAUAUUAUGGCAUAUGAUAAUGCUGUUUCAGCACUUGGAAAAAUAUGUCAAUUUCACCGCGAUGGGAUUGAUGCGGCUCAGGUCAUUCCAGCAUGGCUUGGUUGCUUGCCUAUAAAAGAUGACAAGAUUGAAGCAAAAGUUGUACAUGAUCAGCUUUGUUCAAUGGUGGAGAGAUCGGACGCACAGGUUCUUGGACCUCAUAGUCAGUAUCUUCCUAAAAUAGUUUCUAUUUUUGCUGAGGUUCUGUGCAAUGGAAAGGAGCUUGCAACAGAUGAAACAACCACCCGGAUGAUCAGUGUUCUGAAGCGAUUUCAGCAGACAUUGCCACCUGAUUUUCUUGCCUCAACAUUUUCCACCUUGCAACCACAGCAGCAGCUUAUGCUACAGUCCAUCCUAUCCACAUAG
rnacentral:rRNA from 1 species